rnacentral:rRNA from 1 species
UACGUAGGUGGCAAGCGUUGUCCGGAAUUAUUGGGCGUAAAGCGCGCGCAGGUGGUUUCUUAAGUCUGAUGUGAAAGCCCAUGGCUCAACCGUGGAGGGUCAUUGGAAACUGGGGAACUUGAGUGCAGAAGAGGAAAGUGGAAUUCCAAGUGUAGCGGUGAAAUGCGUAGAGAUUUGGAGGAACACCAGUGGCGAAGGCGACUUUCUGGUCUGUAACUGACACUGAGGCGCGAAGGCCAGGGGAGCAAACGGG